rnacentral:misc_RNA from 1 species
UUUCCGUAGGUGAACCUGCGGAAGGAUCAUUGUCGAACCCUGCCCAGCAGAACGACCCGCGAACUUGUAUAAACAACCGGGGGCGGGGGGCGUUCUCGCCCCGUGCCCCCGAACGGCGGGGAGACACUCGUGCCUUCUUGCCGAACAACGAGCCCCGGCGCGGUCUGCGCCAAGGAACUUCAACUAAAGAGUGCCUCCGGUCGCCUCGGAAACGGCGUGCGUGCCGGGGGCGAAUCUUGUGCAAAACCAUAACGACUCUCGGCAACGGAUAUCUCGGCCCUC